rnacentral:rRNA from 1 species
UACGUAGGGGGCAAGCGUUGUCCGGAAUCAUUGGGCGUAAAGAGCGUGUAGGCGGCUUGGUAAGUCCGCUGUGAAAGUCCAGGGCUCAACCCUGGAAUGCCGGUGGAAACUGUCAAGCUUGAGUCCGGAAGAGGCGAGUGGAAUUCCUGGUGUAGCGGUGAAAUGCGCAGAUAUCAGGAGGAACACCAAUGGCGAAGGCAGCUCGCUGGGACGGUACUGACGCUGAGACGCGAAAGCCAGGGGAGCGAACGGG